rnacentral:rRNA from 1 species
UACGAAGGGGGCUAGCGUUGUUCGGAAUUACUGGGCGUAAAGCGCACGUAGGCGGAUAUUUAAGUCAGGGGUGAAAUCCCAGAGCUCAACUCUGGAACUGCCUUUGAUACUGGGUAUCUCGAGUAUGGAAGAGGUGAGUGGAAUUCCGAGUGUAGAGGUGAAAUUCGUAGAUAUUCGGAGGAACACCAGUGGCGAAGGCGGCUCACUGGUCCAUUACUGACGUGAGGUGCGAAAGCG